rnacentral:rRNA from 1 species
UACGUAGGUGGCAAGCGUUGUCCGGAUUUACUGGGCGUAAAGAGCGCGCAGGCGGUCGAUCAAGUCGCGUGUGAAAGCCCCGGCUCAACUGGGAGGGUCACGCGAUACUGAUCGACUCGAAGGCAGGAGAGGGUAGUGGAAUUCCCGGUGUAGUGGUGAAAUGCGUAGAUAUCGGGAGGAACACCAGUGGCGAAGGCGGCUCACUGGCUCGAUACUGACGCUGAGGUGCGAAAGCGUGGGGAGCAAACAGGA